UAAGAGGCUUUUAUAAAAGCCAUAUUUAAAGAUCUUGAAUUAUUAU
rfam:Physcomitrella patens subsp. patens PHYPAscaffold_48 genomic scaffold, whole genome shotgun sequence.